rnacentral:misc_RNA from 1 species
GAUGAAGAACGUAGCGAAAUGCGAUAAGUAGUGUGAAUUGCAGAAUCCAGUGAAUCAUCGAAUCUUUGAACGCACAUUGCGCCCCUUGGUAUCCCGAGGGGCAUGCCUGUUCGAGCGUCAUUUCACCACUCAAGCCUGGCUUGGUGUUGGGCGACGUCCCCUUUGGGGACGCGCCUCGAAACGCUCGGCGGCGUGGCACCGGCUUUAAGCGUAGCAGAAUCUUUCGCUUUGGAAGUCGGGGCCCCGUCUGCCGGAAGACCUACUCGCAAGGUUGACCUCGGAUCAGGCAGGGAUACCCGCUGAACUUAAGCAUAUCAAUAAGCGGAGGA